AGGGAGGGUUCUCGAUUCUGUUGAUUAUUGGUUGCACUUGUGAAGAAUCGAUGGAAAAUUGGUGGUAGGGUUACAUUGGCUGGAGGCAACUUGGAAGUAUUUUGUUUUCUGUAAAAAGACCGACCAAAUUUGUAGGUUAGAGGGUAGAAAAUGUAACGAAAAGGUUUAGGAAAUGGGUAAGAGCUUUAGAGGAAGAAGUAAAUUGGAGAAUGAAUUACUCUGUACACAUUACAACGCUUAAUACAAGCUUUUUAGCUUCACUGAGCAUUGCUUUUCUCUUCGGGUGUGAUUGGCUUAUAAAGAAGUGCCAAAGAAAAGACAACUUUAGUUCCGUUCCAAUUGUUGAGCAUUGCACAAGAGGGAGGGGCUGUGUGUUCCCUAGAACUGAGAAGCACAUUCUUGCCUUGGCAGAAGAUCUCGAUUUGGUCUCUGCAUAUGCAAUGUAUUAAGGACCACUUUUAUUUCUAACUAGCCUUAAUAUGUGCAUCAAGGCGAGGGGGAGAGAGGAGACAGGACAGGAAACGCUAUUGGAUAUGUGAAACUGGGGCUUGACAGGCUUGAUUU
rnacentral:misc_RNA from 1 species